UCGACUCGAGCGCCAGCGAGAGAACGUUGCCGCAGGCAACGGCCCGAAGGGCGAGGAGCGAUAGCGACGAGUUAUCCUUCCCCCACCACCA
rnacentral:sRNA from 1 species